AGAAUUCUUUAAGAAGGCAUGAAAUCUGUUAUCCAGGUGCUCUAAAGGAACGGCUCAAUGUGAAAAUACUUCGUAUCUCAAUAUUUUAUUAUUUAAGCAAUAUUGUAUGAUUGUGUCUCUAAAAAUAUAAUUUGCAAUGCUGGUUUUAUUUUUUAUUUUGGUUGAGAUGUAUAUUGACUUUAUUCAAAUAAACUGUACUCUACAAUUGAGAAAUUGUACUAUCUAACAAAACAAAUGUUGCUUAAUUAACUCUUUUAUAGUUAUAAUUUUUUUUCUAUUCUUUCAAGUACUUGCUAUAGCUAAUAGUAAAGUUUUACAUAUUAAAUGGAAACCCAUAAUGUUUAGAUAGAUAUAUUUGUUUCAAAUAAACCAAAAGCACUGAGACAAAGAAAAUGAAAUAUUGUUCACUCUGUCUUUCUGUAUUAGUGGUACACAUUAUAAGUUAGUUGUCUUUUAAUUGGAAAAGAUACAUCAAAGAAACAUGAAAAAUGAUCUGAGUCUAAGCUUAUUUUUAUUGAUUAAAUCUUGAUUACAUUGCUCAGACAUACAAACCUUAUGCAUAUUUUCUGAGAACUUUUCAAAAUUAGCUUGAGUGGUAUCUGAAAAUGUUAAGGAGAAAAUUUUGUCUCUUUUCACUUGUGAUUAACUUGAUCAAUGUAUUCUCCCAACAUUAAUCAUUUAUUUAUAUGUCUUCAACCAAUAAUAUUCUCUGUCUCUAAAACUUUAACUCUCUGAAGAGUGACCACUCAUAAUUCAACACAUUGAACUGUGUAUUGCAAAAUCUUUUCUUCAUCAAACAAGCAAAGUGCUCAAGAACCCAAAUAAUAGACUAGCAUAUGAAAACUUAUUAGCAAGUAUCUUCUGCCACUGGUCAGAUGUGUGACCAGAAUUGUUCUAAUCAACUCUGGACUUUCAGCCAACAACUUAAGAAAGGAAUGUAGCACAGGAAGUAUCCAUGUUAUAGGUUCAUUUCUCAAAUCAGAAGGAAAAUUGUAGAUUCUGGGCUUGCAAUUGGAGAAAGCCUGCUUUCCAAGAAAAAAAAAAAAAAGAAAAAAGCAGAAUUGUAGAUUCUGCUUCUGAUUUGAGAUCUGGGAUAGUACCUAUAGAAGUGGUGAAAUAAGUGGGUUUGCAAUUAAACUUAAUUGGUUUUACUCUUGAUUCUGCCACUUACUGGCUAUUUGAUCUUGAACAAGUUGUUUCAACUUCCUAAGCAUUAAUUUUCUUCAUCUGUAAACCUGAUAAAUAAUGAUGCCUACGUAUAAGGUUGCUAUGUGGGUUAAGUAAGGUAAUGCAACUAAAUGGUCCAGUAUAAUGCACAUACAAAAGCUCAGAAGUAAUGCAAUUAAGGUGUUUAGUAUUAAUAUGUAAAGCAUUUAGUGUUAACAGGAAAAAUAUUUAGUAUGAUGCACAUCAUAAAUUGAAAAGCUAAUAGAAUCAAGUAGCUACAAUUUAUGUAUUAUUAUGUUUUUGUUUACUUAAAUGUAUAUAUGCUUUUCUUGGCUCACUGCAACCUCUGCCUCCUGGGUUCAAGCAAUUCUCCAGCCUCAGCCUCACAAGUAGCUGGAAUUAUAGGCACGUGCCACCACACCUGGCUAAUUUUUUGUAUUCUUAGUGGAGAUGGGGUUUCAACAUGUUGACCAGGCUGGUCUUGAACUCCUGACUUCAGGUGAUCUUCCUGCCUUGGCCUCCCAAAGUGUGGGGAUUACAGGCAUGAGCCACCGGUGCCUGGCCAUGUUUUUCUCAAUUAAUCUUUUUCUUCUAGGUAUGUGUUGCAGGUUGGAUUCUGUGAAAGCCAACUCUGAGAAAGAGAUUAAAAUGCUAGGAGUUUAUUAGGAAGUGCAGUUGGAGUCAGCACCUGUAGAAGAAAGAGAUAGAGAUAGGACUGGGAGGUGAGAGAAACUCUUGCAGGCAUCAGUCUCAACAAGGUUUCAACCAAUUACAUGGGAGCUCUGGAGCUGUUAAUAGAUGGCCCUUCAGUGGCCUUUUGUUGCUGGGAGGAGCCCGGGUGUCCAUACUUUUAUAUCAACCAGGCAUUGGAUGUAGGCUUCUUCAGGAAGGAGGUAUGACCUUGAGCAAUGCAGGGCUCUUCAACUAAGGGCAAUUUUCUGAGAUUUCCUGAAACAUAUAGUUGAGCAUUAUCUUCCAGGAGCACUCCUCGCAGAUGGGAGCACAGGUUCUUCUGACCUGCAGGGGAAUCUAAGCAGCCAAAUACAACAAUUACAUACUUCCUCUUAAGUUAUCUUUUCUGGAGUCUGUUCAGAAGCUAAAUUUGCUUUUUUGUUUUAUAUUUAAUAACUAUCAAUGGCUGUUAUUUUGAAGUCAAUUAAUAAAAGGAAAGUUUGCUAGUAGGAGAUGUCACAGAAUUCAUGAAAGCCCUUUGACAAUUUGCUACGCCUCUUGUAUGUACUGGGAUUGGAUAUAGUGAUAUGCACUAUAUCCAACAGGGGAUAUUUCCUUCCUUCCUUCCUUCCUUCCUUCCUUCCUUCCUUCCUUCCUUCCUUCCUUCCUUCCUUCCUUCCUCUCUCUCUUUCUUUCUUUCUUUUUCUUUCUUUCUUUCUUUUUCUUUCUUUCUUUCUUUUUCUUUCAUCUUUCUUUCUCUUUCUUUAUUCUUUCUCAUAUUAGGCAUCUAAAGCUCUUGGUAUUGACAGAUAAGCAAGAUUCAACUAAAAUGGAACUUCUAAAGUAAAUAGUAAACUUGGGGGUAAGUAAAUAAUUAAUUUUUAAAAAGGAACUAUCAUUAUUUAGCCCAGAGAAGAAACUUUUUGUAUGGUUGGAGGACAGAGAUGUGCCAUCCUCUUUAUGUGCAGAAAGGAUAAGUUGUUUGAUUUUUGUUUAAUAACAGGUGGAACUUUAGUAAGAAUAAGGUAGGUGGUGUGUGCCUACAGCAAAAUAAUGGAACAAACCAGAAACCCAGCUGUUUGAUUUGAAUUUAUUUGGUUACAGUGUUUUGGUAACAUAAAGAGAAAAAGGGAAUUUAUUAGAAAGAUACCUGUUUAAAACCUAUCACCAUAAUCCAAAAAGGAGUUGGAAAAUCAAUCACACAGUAUCUUUCAAGGUUUCUAUAGAAUUUUAACUUUCACUCAAGAGAAAAGCCAUUAAUGCAAUUUGGCUGUGACUCAACAUAAUAUUUCUUACUCUCAAAUCUGUAUUCAUCGGGAGAAAUUGCAACUGACUCAGAUUCAGUAAAGUGUCUAUUUCUAGAUUAAAUAAGGGUAGCAGGUGGGCGGGAUCAUGUUAAGCUCAUGGAGCAGCUUUCUUGUGGGCAAUGGAAGGCUCUGUCGUAGCGAUCAAUUCUUCUGUUUACUACUACUCGGCAAAUAGGGACACUAUUUUACUUAGUGUACAUAGGCAAAUAUCAAGGGUGUGUGUGUGUGUGUGUGUGUUGUAAAAUGGAAGUAACUAAAAGGAAAACAUUUUAGAUAUAUGUUAUUAUAAAAUAAGAUAAAUUCCCAUGCAUUUGGGAUGAUUUAAACAUGUUUCUUUAUAAAAUCAAGAAGAUUAGCUGAUUUAUAUGAUUUGCUUCAAUAUACUGGGCUUGCAACUGGAGAAGGCCUGCUUUCCAAGAAAAAAAUUGUGUGAGUAUAUAUUUAUUUAUACAUAUGUGUGUGCACGUAUUUCUAUACAGUUUUUUAAAUAUCAGAAUAACAUUGCUUAUCACCUAUUCAAGAUACAAUAAGGCUUAGUAUUUUUCAUUAGUUUACUUGGGAAAGUAUCCAUAUCCUUCAUUAUUUUUCUGCCUACUAUAUUGGUCAAGUAGCUGUGCUAUGUUAGUUGAGAAUUAAUAUGGACUUAUAUUAGAAAAAGAAUACCUAAAAAUUUGGCAGCUGGCUGACUACCAGUCAAUGAGAACCCAUCUAAAAUAUAAAUAUAUUUUUAAAGUAGCUGUUGAACUUUUUGACUUGUAACAAAUGUCUGACUAUAAACUCUAGCUCAAAAAUAAAUUCCCAGAUUUUAGUAGGCUUUUUAGCUAUAGAAAAACUAUAUGACAGAAUUUUUUAAUUAGUGAGUCAAUUAGACAUUGAUUAGAACACUGUAGCACCCGUGCAAGUUUUAUUAUCACCAUUCAGGCUUAGCAAGCUUGUAUGCUCCUUACAUUUUGCAGCAGUUCUCUUUGGUUUAAUAUUUGGAAUUAAUUUCUGAAAUAGCUUAGACAGGCUGAGCAUUCAGCCUGUCGUUUUUCUAAAUCUGAUAGGAUGGAAUAAUAAGUAGCUGAAAUAUUCUAGAGCUAUAUUACAGGCUUCAGUGAUCACAAGGGUCUAUGAUUCAUUCUCAAAGCAAAGUUUCUUUUCUAAUAUGUCUGAUGUAUUGGUUUUUAUUGGCAAUUUUCAUAUCUGAGUUGGUGACCCUGCCAUUUGUCUUUAUUGUUAUUAUUCUCUCUUUGUGGCAAUGAUAAGAAAACUGGUUCAGGCCCUGUGGUUGUUUAUGUCUGCAGUCAGUUAUUCUUGAGGCUGCUCUCCUCUGCUGGGUUCCUUUCUUGCAAUCUUUUUUUUUUCUUUCUUUCUUUUGUGUGGAUACCUGAUUUCUGAGCAGAUGCUCUUUUUAAUCUCAUCUCAUGUUAAUUUUAAAUACUUAUGUAUCAAAUGUUUCCAGUCAGUAAAUCAGGAAUCAGUUUCUGUGUUACAUUCAUGGCACUCAUUAAAUUGUGAUCUCAUGAUUAACAUGCUUGUCUCCUUUAAGGGAUUGUUAGCCAAGAAUUGUGUUUUUGUCAUCUCUAGAACCAGAGUCUAAGCACAGAACUGAACACACUCUAAACACUCAGGAGCUUUUGAUUGAAGGAGUAAACAAUAACAGAACACCAGUGCAGAACUGGAAACUUAAUGGGUGGGAAGUAAAUAAAUUAAAGGAAACAAAUAAUGAAUUGGCACUUACAUAUUGUUGGUUUGGAAAAAUCCAUAGAAAAGAUAAAUAUUGUUUUGGGUUAUUGAAGUUGCCUGCUUAUUAUCUGUAUUCUUAAAUGGAUGUUCCAUUAUGAACACAUAGAACAAUUACAGUCAGCAAAGGUCAGCCUUCCUUUCUUUUUAGUACUUCAAGAAUGUCUAUCCACAUACAUGUUCGACCUAGCAUUUUAUGCUCUUUCCCAUGGUUCUUUCUAUUCUUCUGACUCUGUACUCAACUCUAUACCUUAUUCAAGCCUAUAUCCUUCUUUUAGUGAUUAUUUUAAUAUCUUUUUUCAGCUUCCUGAAUUUGCUUCUCAUUCUACUCCCACCCUAUUCUAGCUUAUCUUACAUUUUCUUCCCAUUCUUUUGGUUUCAGUAAAUGUGCAACUCAUUUGUAAAUUUGGGGAGAUAUCUCUGAAGACGGUAUGUAAUUAAAUUAUGCUAUUAUAGCUUGGGGCCUAGAUUCCUGUGAAAUAAACUCAGUAUGUGGAUCUUUUCCAGAACCCCAGUAUAUGUGAUCUAUGUUAAUUAGCUGUGUUCAGCCUCCCAUAUUUUGUGCCAAUCCUAUAAAAUCUAAGUUUUCGGGGUUACAGGAAGGAUCAAAAAAGAUGAUGAAUAUAGAAACAUAUUUUCAGUCAAAUCUCAUCAGUUUACGUAUACAUUUUGUAACAACUAAUGAAAAAGAUCUUACAUGACUUCCUAGACAGAGAUGAAUACUUAUGAGGAUGAGUGUUAAAGUCAGAGUGCCUGCGAGCAUCUCUCAGCUAUGCUUUUUGCUUGCUGGCCCGGAGUCUAAGUAAGGUGUUUAAGUUCUCUAUAUCUCAGUUGCUUCAUAGAAUUAUGGGAUCAAAUAUGUAAACACAUGUAAAUUUCUUUGCUACUACACAGCAAGUACUCGGUUAAAUGUGAGCAUUUACCAUUACUAUUUUUCUUUUUAUUGUUACAAAAUAUUAUUGAUAUAUUCAUUUUCUAUUCUCUUUGUGCUUAAGCAAAUUUUGUAGCCAACUGUAAUCACACUUGCAAGAUAUACUUCUAUCUCCAAAAGAAAAAUCCUAAGCUACAACUUAACAAUUGUGCUCUCAUAUUCUUGGAUGAAUAUUAAUGUUUUUAAAAUGAGAGGUCUUCAAAAGCAAUCAGAGAUAUCCAGUGAUUAAUGGAGGUUGCCUUCUUUUCCAAACUGCUUUGAAAAUUCACCUGUUGAAACCUGUUUUUCUGUUCUGUGGCCAUAAUCAGAACUUUUAGCAGCUCUAAAAUACUCUGUUUUACUUUAUCUCUACUUUCUCCUAAUAUAGCUCAAUCCUAUACCAUCAUAACUGACAGCUCCACAACAGUGGUAGAGCCCAUUCAUUCCAAGGAGGACUCAGAUGCUAGUGAUCUUCAUCCUGUCUGCCACUUGUGAGGAUGAAAACUGGAGUCUGCUGAGUCUGCUUUCUAGAUAUGAGUAGACCGAAUGAAGACAUCCUGGCACUGGUAUGUCUCAUCUACCUUAUCAAAUCGAAGAACAGUGGGACGAUUUUGGUUGUAGAUUGUACUCUGUAUUAACUAUCCAAAUAAGACAUUUCCUUGGGUUGUCAUCCUAUAUGCAGUUUUCUCUUUUUGUGUUUGUGUUUGUCAGAGUUCUCCAGAGAGACAGAACCAACAUAAAGGAUAAAUUAUAGAUAGAUAGAUAGAUAGAUAGAUAGAUAGAUAGAUAGAUAGAUGAGAUGGGACUUAUUAGGUGAAUUGGCUCACAUGGUUAUGGAGGCUGAGAAGGCCCCUGAUAGGCUGUCAGCAAGCAGAAGAACCUGGAACCCAGCAGCAUGGCUGAUCAAGCCUGAAAGUUUCAGGAUCAGCUAAAACAAAUUUGCCUUUCUCCUGACUUUUUGUUCUCUCCAUGCCCUCCUAUAUUAAGAGUGGAACUUGGCCAUUCAGUCCACCAACUCACACACCAAUCUUCUGCUGAAACAUCCUCACAAACACAUCCAGAAAUAAUGCUUUACCAACUCUCUAGGUAUCACUUAAUUUAGUCAAGUUCAGAUAAGAAUAAACUGCAUGAGAAGGAGUAGUUCUAAAAAAAAUGAUUGUUACUUAAAGUAUAAUAAAAAAAGAAAAAAAUGGAAAAUAUGAGCUAACUUAGAAUGCAUCAAGUUUUGACAGAUUUUGGGUGUGUAUGCAAUUUUUUAACAAAGUUUUAUAAUAGCAUAACAUGACAUUUUUCAAUUCCUGUUUGACAAUAUGACUAUAAAGAAAAUCGUUCUUAAAAAAAUGAGUGUUAAUAGUUCUGGUAAACAAAGCAACAACAAAAACAAACUAUAAGAUC
rnacentral:lncRNA from 10 species